GCAGUGGUGGUUCAGAUUAGAACUCUCGCCUUCCAUGUGGGAGACCCAGGUAUGAUUCCAGCCAAUGCA
rnacentral:tRNA from 1 species